ACCAGACUCCUACGGGAGGCAGCAGUGAGGAAUAUUGGUCAAUGGUCGGGAGACUGAACCAGCCAAGCCGCGUGAGGGAUGAAGGUACAGAGUAUCGUAAACCUCUUUUGUCAGGGAACAAAGGCGGGGACGUGUCCCCGGAUGAGUGUACCUGAAGAAAAAGCAUCGGCUAACUACGUGCCAGCAGCCGCGGUAAUACGUAGGUGGCAAGCGUUGUCCGGAUUUACUGGGUGUAAAGGGCGUGCAGCCGGAGAGACAAGUCAGAUGUGAAAUCCACGGGCUCAACCCGUGAACUGCAUUUGAAACUGUUUCCCUUGAGUGUCGGAGAGGUAAUCGGAAUUCCUUGUGUAGCGGUGAAAUGCGUAGAUAUAAGGAAGAACACCAGUGGCGAAGGCGGAUUACUGGACGAUAACUGACGGUGAGGCGCGAAAGCGUGGGGAGCAAACAGGAUUAGAUACCCCUGUACGA
rnacentral:rRNA from 1 species